rnacentral:rRNA from 1 species
UACGAAGGGGGCUAGCGUUGCUCGGAUUCACUGGGCGUAAAGGGUGCGUAGGUGGCUGGGAAAGUUUGAUGUGAAAGCUCAGGGCUUAACCCUGAAAUGGCAUUGAAUACUGCCUGGCUGGAGGUUUGGAGGGGGGACUGGAAUUCUUGGUGUAGCAGUGAAAUGCGUAGAUAUCAAGAGGAACACCAGUGGCGAAGGCGAGUCCCUGGACAACACCUGACACUGAGGCACGAAAGCCGGGGGAGCAAACGGG